CCUUCAGUGCCGCGACGGAUUCGGAGGCGCCGAGCUUCUCGCGUUUGAAAUCCUUGUUCCAGUCGAUGCCGAGGGCC
rnacentral:tRNA from 1 species